rnacentral:rRNA from 1 species
AGAGUUUGAUCCUGGCUCAGAAUCAACGCUGGCGGCGCGCCUAACACAUGCAAGUCGAACGAGAAAGCGGGAGCAAUCUCGCAAGUAAAGUGGCGUACGGGUGAGUAACACGUGGAUGAUCUGCCCUGGAGUGUGGAAUAACGCUGGGAAACCGGCGCUAAUACCGCAUAUUCCCGAGAGGGGAAAGCAGCAAUGCGCUCGAGGAGGAGUCCGCGGCCGAUUAGCUAGUUGGCAGGGUAAAAGCCUACCAAGGCUGUGAUCGGUAGCCGGCCUGAGAGGGCACACGGCCACACUGGCACUGAAACACGGGCCAGACUCCUACGGGAGGCAGCAGUGGGGAAUCUUGCACAAUGGGGGAAACCCUGAUGCAGCGACGCCGCGUGAGCGAUGAAGCCCUUCGGGGUGUAAAGCUCUUUCGGCAGGGAAGAUUAUGACGGUACCUGCAGAAGCAGCUGCGGCUAACUACGUGCCAGCAGCCGCGGUAAUACGUAGGCAGCAAGCGUUGUUCGGAGUUACUGGGCGUAAAGGGUGUGUAGGCGGCUCUCUAAGUUUGGUGUGAAAUCUCCCGGCUCAACCGGGAGGGUGCGCCGAAAACUGGAGGGCUAGAGUGCGGGAUGGGAGAGUAGAAUUCCUGGUGUAGCGGUGAAAUGCGUAGAUAUCAGGAGGAAUACCGGUGGUGUAGACGGCUCUCUGGACCGCAACUGACGCUGAAACACGAAAGCGUGGGUAGCAAACAGGAUUAGAUACCCUGGUAGUCCACGCCCUAAACGAUGCAUAUUUGGUGUAGGUCAUUCAGUUGAUCUGUGCCGGAGCUAACGCGUUAAAUAUGCCGCCUGGGGAGUACAGUCGCAAGGCUGAAACUCAAAGGAAUUGACGGGGGCCCGCACAAGCGGUGGAGCAUGUGGUUCAAUUCGACGCAACGCGAAGAACCUUACCUGGGCUCGAACGGCUGGUCAACGAUCGUGGAAACACGGGUUACUCCGCAAGGGGGUCCAGUCGAGGUGCUGC